rnacentral:tRNA from 1 species
ACUCUUGUAGCUAAAUCCAAAAGCGCUGGCCUUGUAAGACAGAAAUGGAAAACACUAGACCUUCCCAAGAGUA